CGAGCGGUAGAGAGGUGCUUGCACCUCUUGAGAGCGGCGGACGGCCGUGUAAUGCCUAGGAAUCUGCCUGGUAGUGGGGGAUAACGCCCUUGAAACGGACGCUAAUACCGCAUACGUCCUACGGGAGAAAGCAGGGGACCUUCGGGCCUUGCGCUAUCAGAUGAGCCUAGGUCGGAUUAGCUAGUUGGUGAGGUAAUGGCUCACCAAGGCGACAAUCCGUAACUGGUCUGAAACGAUGAU
rnacentral:rRNA from 1 species